rnacentral:rRNA from 1 species
CAGCAGCCACGGUAAUACGAAGGGUGCAAGCGUUAAUCGGAAUUACUGGGCGUAAAGGGUGCGUAGGCGGUUGUUUAAGUCUGUUGUGAAAUCCCCGGGCUCAACUCGGGAACUGCAUUUGAAACUGGCAGGCUAGAGUCUCGUAGAGGGGGGUAGAAUUCCAGGUGUAGCGGUGAAAUGCGUAGGGAUCUGGAGGAAUACCGGUAGCGAAGGCGGCCCCCUGGACGAAGACUGACGCUCAGGUACGAAAGCGUGGGGAGCAAACAGGAUUAGAUACCCCUGUAGUCCCUGUCUCUUAUAC